rnacentral:misc_RNA from 1 species
UCUCCGUAUGUGAACCUGCGGAGGGAUCAUUACUGAGUGAGGGCUCCGGCCCGACCUCCAACCCUUUGUGAAUCGUACUCGUUGCUUCGGGGGCGACCCUGCCGACGACUUCGUCGCCGGGCGCCCCCGGAGGUCUUCUAAACACUGCAUCUUUGCGUCGGAGUUUAAAACAAAUUAAACAAAACUUUCAACAACGGAUCUCUUGGUUCUGGCAUCGAUGAAGAACGCAGC